CUUUUCUUAAAGAGUUGAGAGAAAAGGUCUCAAGUCUUGAAAGUCUUAUGUCGAGAAAUCAGGAGAUGGUUGUGAAGACUCAAGGCCCAGCAGAAGGAUUUACUUUACCAUUCAUUCUACUUGAGACAAAUCCUCACGCA